UACAGAGGGGGCGAGCGUUAUUCGGAAUUAUUGGGCGUAAAGGGCGCGUAGGCGGCUUUGCAAGUGACGGGUGAAAUCCCUCGGCUUAACCGAGGAACUGCCUGUCAGACUGUAAGGCUUGAGACCGGGAGAGGUGAGUGGAAUUCCCAGUGUAGCGGUGAAAUGCGUAGAUAUUGGGAGGAACACCGGUGGCGAAGGCGGCCAUCUGGACGACAACUGACGCUGAGAUGCGAAAGCGUGGGGAGCAAACAGG
rnacentral:rRNA from 1 species